UACGUAGGGUGCGAGCGUUAAUCGGAAUUACUGGGCGUAAAGUGUGCGCAGGUGGCCGCGCAAGUCGAGUGUGAAAUCCCCGGGCUUAACUUGGGAAUUGCGCUCGAAACUACGUGGCUCGAGUAUGGCAGAGGAAGGUGGAAUUCCGACGUGUAGCGGUGAAAUGCGUAGAGAUGUGGAGGACACCGAUGGCGAAGGCAGCAUCCGUGGACCGGGAUUGACACG
rnacentral:rRNA from 1 species